UCUAAAACUCUUACUCUGUUCACUCUCUUAACUGUUUUCUAGCCAGUAACACCCUUCUCAGAAGGUGGCAUCCAAAAUGGAAAUAAAUUCUCAUUUUCUGAGAGCAUUUGAUCUACUUACUUCAGAUCAUGCCGACUGACUACAGUAUAAGAAUGGUAUGCCUGUGUUUUGAAUUACAAACAGUGCAGUUAUGGUAUACAGUUCGUAAGGAAUAUUCAGACUACUAUUACUGAAUCUGCCCAGCAGGUCAUCCAAUGUGGGGGUGCACAUAAAAGAUUCUGCAAAACUGAGCCUACUGACUGCUGGAGCAUGCUGCCCAAUAUAUCAUGUUUAUGCAAUGAAGAAGCAUGGAUCCACAUCACUCAGAUCUUACCUUUAAAAUGGCAGUGA
rnacentral:lncRNA from 1 species